UUCAAAUCCAUCUUAUGGAUUAUCUUGGUCAAAGUUUUACUGAAUUAAAAUAUAUUGAUGCAUACUCCUACUAAUUCAGCGUGGUCAAUUUCAUCUUAACUCAUACACCGAUUUGAUAAGUACUUGACUGUAUCCAAUAAUCUUCCAUCACUGAAUUAGAAACUCAGAUAGUUCGAUACUAAAGUACAGUGAGUUGCUUAUAGAU
rnacentral:lncRNA from 1 species